UGUGGGGUGAGGUGUAUGAGCCUCUGGUCGAUGAUCAAUGGCCACACAACCCCCAUUUUUGUCGAAAAUAGCCAUGAACGACCAUUUUCAAUAAUAUCGAAGGCUAACACCUACGGAUUUUUGACCAAGAAAUGGUCUCCACCAGAAAUCCAAGAAUGUGAUCUAUGGCAAGGAAACAUAUGUGGGGUGAGGUGUAUGAGCCUCUGGUCGAUGAUCAAUGGCCACACAACCCCCAUUUUGCCGAAAAUAGCCAUGAAUGACCAUUUUCAAUAAUACCGAAGGCUAACACCUACGAAUUUUUGACCAAGAAAUGGUCUCCACCAGAAAUCCAAGAAUGUGAUCUAUGGCAAGGAAACAUAUGUGGGGUGAGGUGUAUGAGCCUCUGGUCGAUGAUCAAUGGCCACACAACCCCCAUUUUUGUCGAAAAUAGCCAUGAACGACCAUUUUCAAUAAUACCGAAGGCUAACACCUACGGAUUUUUGACCAAGAAAUGGUCUCCACCAGAAAUCCAAGAAUGUGAUCUAUGGCAAGGAAACAUAUGUGGGGUGAGGUGUAUGAGCCUCUGGUCGAUGAUCAAUGGCCACACAACCCCAUUUUUGUCGAAAAUAGCCAUGAACGACCAUUUUCAAUAAUACGAAGGCUAACACCUACGGAUUUUUGACCAAGAAAUGGUCUCCACCAGAAAUCCAAGAAUGUGAUCUAUGGCAAGGAAACAUAUGUGGGGUGAGGUGUAUGAGCCUCUGGUCGAUGAUCAAUGGCCACACAACCCCCAUUUUUGUCGAAAAUAGCCAUGAACGACCAUUUUCAAUAAUACCGAAGGCUAACACCUACGGAUUUUUGACCAAGAAAUGGUCUCCACCAGAAAUCCAAGAAUGUGAUCUAUGGCAAGGAAACAUAUGUGGGGUGAGGUGUAUGAGCCUCUGGUCGAUGAUCAAUGGCCACACAACCCCAUUUUUGCGAAAAUAGCCAUGAAUGACCAUUUUCAAUAAUACCGAAGGCUAACACUACGGAUUUUUACCAAGAAAUGGUCUCCACCAGAAAUCCAAGAAUGUGAUCUAUGGCAAGGAAACAUAUGUGGGGUGAGGUGUAUGAGCCUCUGGUCGAUGAUCAAUGGCCACACAACCCCCAUUUUUGAAAUAGCCUGAAAAUAGCCAUGACGACCAUUUUCAAUAAUACGAAGGCUAACACCUACGGAUUUUUGACCAAGAAAUGGUCUCCACCAGAAAUCCAAGAAUGUGAUCUAUGGCAAGGAAACAUAUGUGGGGUGAGGUGUAUGAGCCUCUGGUCGAUGAUCAAUGGCCACACAACCCCCAUUUUUGUCGAAAAUAGCCAUGAACGACCAUUUUCAAUAAUACGAAGGCUAACACCUACGGAUUUUGACCAAGAAAUGGUCUCCACCAGAAAUCCAAGAAUGUGAUCUAUGGCAAGGAAACAUAUGUGGGGUGAGGUGUAUGAGCCUCUGGUCGAUGAUCAAUGGCCACACAACCCCCAUUUUUGUCGAAAAUAGCCAUGAACGACCAUUUUCAAUAAUACGAAGGCUAACACCUACGGAUUUUUGACCAAGAAAUGGUCUCCACCAGAAAUCCAAGAAUGUGAUCUAUGGCAAGGAAACAUAUGUGGGGUGAGGUGUAUGAGCCUCUGGUCGAUGAUCAAUGGCCACACAACCCCCAUUUUGUCGAAAAUAGCCAUGAACGACCAUUUUCAAUAAUACCGAAGGCUAACACCUACGGAUUUUUGACCAAGAAAUGGUCUCCACCAGAAAUCCAAGAAUGUGAUCUAUGGCAAGGAAACAUAUGUGGGGUGAGGUGUAUGAGCCUCUGGUCGAUGAUCAAUGGCCACACAACCCCCAUUUUUGUCGAAAAUAGCCAUGAACGACCAUUUUCAAUAAUACGAAGGCUAACACCUACGGAUUUUUGACCAAGAAAUGGUCUCCACCAGAAAUCCAAGAAUGUGAUCUAUGGCAAGGAAACAUAUGUGGGGUGAGGUGUAUGAGCCUCUGGUCGAUGAUCAAUGGCCACACAACCCCCAUUUUUGUCGAAAAUAGCCAUGAACGACCAUUUUCAAUAAUACCGAAGGCUAACACCUACGGAUUUUUGACCAAGAAAUGGUCUCCACCAGAAAUCCAAGAAUGUGAUCUAUGGCAAGGAAACAUAUGUGGGGUGAGGUGUAUGAGCCUCUGGUCGAUGAUCAAUGGCCACACAACCCCCAUUUUUGUCGAAAAUAGCCAUGAACGACCAUUUUCAAUAAUACGAAGGCUAACACCUACGGAUUUUUGACCAAGAAAUGGUCUCCACCAGAAAUCCAAGAAUGUGAUCUAUGGCAAGGAAACAUAUGUGGGGUGAGGUGUAUGAGCCUCUGGUCGAUGAUCAAUGGCCACACAACCCCCAUUUUUGUCGAAAAUAGCCAUGAACGACCAUUUUCAAUAAUACGAAGGCUAACACCUACGGAUUUUUGACCAAGAAAUGGUCUCCACCAGAAAUCCAAGAAUGUGAUCUAUGGCAAGGAAACAUAUGUGGGGUGAGGUGUAUGAGCCUCUGGUCGAUGAUCAAUGGCCACACAACCCCCAUUUUUGUCGAAAAUAGCCAUGAACGACCAUUUUCAAUAAUACGAAGGCUAACACCUACGGAUUUUUGACCAAGAAAUGGUCUCCACCAGAAAUCCAAGAAUGUGAUCUAUGGCAAGGAAACAUAUGUGGGGUGAGGUGUAUGAGCCUCUGGUCGAUGAUCAAUGGCCACACAACCCCCAUUUUUGUCGAAAAUAGCCAUGAAUGACCAUUUUCAAUAAUACGAAGGCUAACACCUACGGAUUUUUGACCAAGAAAUGGUCUCCACCAGAAAUCCAAGAAUGUGAUCUAUGGCAAGGAAACAUAUGUGGGGUGAGGUGUAUGAGCCUCUGGUCGAUGAUCAAUGGCCACACAACCCCCAUUUUGUCGAAAAUAGCCAUGAACGACCAUUUUCAAUAAUACCGAAGGCUAACACUACGGAUUUUUAACCAAGAAAUGGUCUCCACCAGAAAUCCAAGAAUGUGAUCUAUGGCAAGGAAACAUAUGUGGGGUGAGGUGUAUGAGCCUCUGGUCGAUGAUCAAUGGCCACACAACCCCCAUUUUUGUCGAAAAUAGCCAUGAACGACCAUUUUCAAUAAUACGAAGGCUAACACCUACGGAUUUUUGACCAAGAAAUGGUCUCCACCAGAAAUCCAAGAAUGUGAUCUAUGGCAAGGAAACAUAUGUGGGGUGAGGUGUAUGAGCCUCUGGUCGAUGAUCAAUGGCCACACAACCCCCAUUUUUGUCGAAAAUAGCCAUGAACGACCAUUUUCAAUAAUACCGAAGGCUAACACCUACGGAUUUUUGACCAAGAAAUGGUCUCCACCAGAAAUCCAAGAAUGUGAUCUAUGGCAAGGAAACAUAUGUGGGGUGAGGUGUAUGAGCCUCUGGUCGAUGAUCAAUGGCCACACAACCCCAUUUUUGUCGAAAAUAGCCAUGAACGACCAUUUUCAAUAAUACCGAAGGCUAACACCUACGGAUUUUUGACCAAGAAAUGGUCUCCACCAGAAAUCCAAGAAUGUGAUCUAUGGCAAGGAAACAUAUGUGGGGUGAGGUGUAUGAGCCUCUGGUCGAUGAUCAAUGGCCACACAACCCCCAUUUUUGUCGAAAAUAGCCAUGAAUGACCAUUUUCAAUAAUACGAAGGCUAACACCUACGGAUUUUUGACCAAGAAAUGGUCUCCACCAGAAAUCCAAGAAUGUGAUCUAUGGCAAGGAAACAUAUGUGGGGUGAGGUGUAUGAGCCUCUGGUCGAUGAUCAAUGGCCACACAACCCCCAUUUUUGUCGAAAAUAGCCAUGAACGACCAUUUUCAAUAAUACCGAAGGCUAACACCUACGGAUUUUUGACCAAGAAAUGGUCUCCACCAGAAAUCCAAGAAUGUGAUCUAUGGCAAGGAAACAUAUGUGGGGUGAGGUGUAUGAGCCUCUGGUCGAUGAUCAAUGGCCACACAACCCCCAUUUUUGUCGAAAAUAGCCAUGAACGACCAUUUUCAAUAAUACGAAGGCUAACACCUACGGAUUUUUGACCAAGAAAUGGUCUCCACCAGAAAUCCAAGAAUGUGAUCUAUGGCAAGGAAACAUAUGUGGGGUGAGGUGUAUGAGCCUCUGGUCGAUGAUCAAUGGCCACACAACCCCCAUUUUUGUCGAAAAUAGCCAUGAACGACCAUUUUCAAUAAUACGAAGGCUAACACCUACGGAUUUUUGACCAAGAAAUGGUCUCCACCAGAAAUCCAAGAAUGUGAUCUAUGGCAAGGAAACAUAUGUGGGGUGAGGUGUAUGAGCCUCUGGUCGAUGAUCAAUGGCCACACAACCCCCAUUUUUGUCGAAAAUAGCCAUGAAGACCAUUUUCAAUAAUACCGAAGGCUAACACCUACGGAUUUUUGACCAAGAAAUGGUCUCCACCAGAAAUCCAAGAAUGUGAUCUAUGGCAAGGAAACAUAUGUGGGGUGAGGUGUAUGAGCCUCUGGUCGAUGAUCAAUGGCCACACAACCCCCAUUUUGUCGAAAAUAGCCAUGAACGACCAUUUUCAAUAAUACGAAGGCUAACACCUACGGAUUUUUGACCAAGAAAUGGUCUCCACCAGAAAUCCAAGAAUGUGAUCUAUGGCAAGGAAACAUAUGUGGGGUGAGGUGUAUGAGCCUCUGGUCGAUGAUCAAUGGCCACACAACCCCCAUUUUUGUCGAAAAUAGCCAUGAACGACCAUUUUCAAUAAUACGAAGGCUAACACCUACGGAUUUUUGACCAAGAAAUGGUCUCCACCAGAAAUCCAAGAAUGUGAUCUAUGGCAAGGAAACAUAUGUGGGGUGAGGUGUAUGAGCCUCUGGUCGAUGAUCAAUGGCCACACAACCCCCAUUUUUGUCGAAAAUAGCCAUGAAUGACCAUUUUCAAUAAUACCGAAGGCUAACACCUACGGAUUUUUGACCAAGAAAUGGUCUCCACCAGAAAUCCAAGAAUGUGAUCUAUGGCAAGGAAACAUAUGUGGGGUGAGGUGUAUGAGCCUCUGGUCGAUGAUCAAUGGCCACACAACCCCCAUUUUUGUCGAAAAUAGCCAUGAAUGACCAUUUUCAAUAAUACCGAAGGCUAACACUACGGAUUUUUGACCAAGAAAUGGUCUCCACCAGAAAUCCAAGAAUGUGAUCUAUGGCAAGGAAACAUAUGUGGGGUGAGGUGUAUGAGCCUCUGGUCGAUGAUCAAUGGCCACACAACCCCCAUUUUUGUCGAAAAUAGCCAUGAACGACCAUUUUCAAUAAUACGAAGGCUAACACCUACGGAUUUUUGACCAAGAAAUGGUCUCCACCAGAAAUCCAAGAAUGUGAUCUAUGGCAAGGAAACAUAUGUGGGGUGAGGUGUAUGAGCCUCUGGUCGAUGAUCAAUGGCCACACAACCCCCAUUUUUGUCGAAAAUAGCCAUGAACGACCAUUUUCAAUAAUACGAAGGCUAACACCUACGGAUUUUUGACCAAGAAAUGGUCUCCACCAGAAAUCCAAGAAUGUGAUCUAUGGCAAGGAAACAUAUGUGGGGUGAGGUGUAUGAGCCUCUGGUCGAUGAUCAAUGGCCACACAACCCCCAUUUUUGUCGAAAAUAGCCAUGAAUGACCAUUUUCAAUAAUACGAAGGCUAACACCUACGGAUUUUUGACCAAGAAAUGGUCUCCACCAGAAAUCCAAGAAUGUGAUCUAUGGCAAGGAAACAUAUGUGGGGUGAGGUGUAUGAGCCUCUGGUCGAUGAUCAAUGGCCACACAACCCCCAUUUUGUCGAAAAUAGCCAUGAAUGACCAUUUUCAAUAAUACGAAGGCUAACACCUACGGAUUUUUGACCAAGAAAUGGUCUCCACCAGAAAUCCAAGAAUGUGAUCUAUGGCAAGGAAACAUAUGUGGGGUGAGGUGUAUGAGCCUCUGGUCGAUGAUCAAUGGCCACACAACCCCCAUUUUUGUCGAAAAUAGCCAUGAACGACCAUUUUCAAUAAUACGAAGGCUAACACCUACGGAUUUUUGACCAAGAAAUGGUCUCCACCAGAAAUCCAAGAAUGUGAUCUAUGGCAAGGAAACAUAUGUGGGGUGAGGUGUAUGAGCCUCUGGUCGAUGAUCAAUGGCCACACAACCCCAUUUUUGUCGAAAAUAGCCAUGAACGACCAUUUUCAAUAAUACGAAGGCUAACACCUACGGAUUUUUGACCAAGAAAUGGUCUCCACCAGAAAUCCAAGAAUGUGAUCUAUGGCAAGGAAACAUAUGUGGGGUGAGGUGUAUGAGCCUCUGGUCGAUGAUCAAUGGCCACACAACCCCCAUUUUGUCGAAAAUAGCCAUGAAUGACCAUUUUCAAUAAUACCGAAGGCUAACACCUACGGAUUUUUGACCAAGAAAUGGUCUCCACCAGAAAUCCAAGAAUGUGAUCUAUGGCAAGGAAACAUAUGUGGGGUGAGGUGUAUGAGCCUCUGGUCGAUGAUCAAUGGCCACACAACCCCAUUUUGUCGAAAAUAGCCAUGAACGACCAUUUUCAAUAAUACGAAGGCUAACACUACGAUUUUUGACCAAGAAAUGGUCUCCACCAGAAAUCCAAGAAUGUGAUCUAUGGCAAGGAAACAUAUGUGGGGUGAGGUGUAUGAGCCUCUGGUCGAUGAUCAAUGGCCACACAACCCCAUUUUUGUCGAAAAUAGCCAUGAACGACCAUUUUCAAUAAUACGAAGGCUAACACCUACGGAUUUUUGACCAAGAAAUGGUCUCCACCAGAAAUCCAAGAAUGUGAUCUAUGGCAAGGAAACAUAUGUGGGGUGAGGUGUAUGAGCCUCUGGUCGAUGAUCAAUGGCCACACAACCCCCAUUUUUGUCGAAAAUAGCCAUGAACGACCAUUUUCAAUAAUACGAAGGCUAACACCUACGGAUUUUUGACCAAGAAAUGGUCUCCACCAGAAAUCCAAGAAUGUGAUCUAUGGCAAGGAAACAUAUGUGGGGUGAGGUGUAUGAGCCUCUGGUCGAUGAUCAAUGGCCACACAACCCCAUUUUUGUCGAAAAUAGCCAUGAACGACCAUUUUCAAUAAUACGAAGGCUAACACUACGGAUUUUUAACCAAGAAAUGGUCUCCACCAGAAAUCCAAGAAUGUGAUCUAUGGCAAGGAAACAUAUGUGGGGUGAGGUGUAUGAGCCUCUGGUCGAUGAUCAAUGGCCACACAACCCCCAUUUUUGUCGAAAAUAGCCAUGAACGACCAUUUUCAAUAAUACGAAGGCUAACACCUACGGAUUUUUGACCAAGAAAUGGUCUCCACCAGAAAUCCAAGAAUGUGAUCUAUGGCAAGGAAACAUAUGUGGGGUGAGGUGUAUGAGCCUCUGGUCGAUGAUCAAUGGCCACACAACCCCCAUUUUUGUCGAAAAUAGCCAUGAACGACCAUUUUCAAUAAUACCGAAGGCUAACACCUACGGAUUUUUGACCAAGAAAUGGUCUCCACCAGAAAUCCAAGAAUGUGAUCUAUGGCAAGGAAACAUAUGUGGGGUGAGGUGUAUGAGCCUCUGGUCGAUGAUCAAUGGCCACACAACCCCCAUUUUUGUCGAAAAUAGCCAUGAACGACCAUUUUCAAUAAUACGAAGGCUAACACCUACGGAUUUUUGACCAAGAAAUGGUCUCCACCAGAAAUCCAAGAAUGUGAUCUAUGGCAAGGAAACAUAUGUGGGGUGAGGUGUAUGAGCCUCUGGUCGAUGAUCAAUGGCCACACAACCCCCAUUUUGCCGAAAAUAGCCAUGAAGACCAUUUUCAAUAAUACGAAGGCUAACACUACGGAUUUUUGACCAAGAAAUGGUCUCCACCAGAAAUCCAAGAAUGUGAUCUAUGGCAAGGAAACAUAUGUGGGGUGAGGUGUAUGAGCCUCUGGUCGAUGAUCAAUGGCCACACAACCCCCAUUUUUGUCGAAAAUAGCCAUGAACGACCAUUUUCAAUAAUACGAAGGCUAACACCUACGGAUUUUUGACCAAGAAAUGGUCUCCACCAGAAAUCCAAGAAUGUGAUCUAUGGCAAGGAAACAUAUGUGGGGUGAGGUGUAUGAGCCUCUGGUCGAUGAUCAAUGGCCACACAACCCCCAUUUUUGUCGAAAAUAGCCAUGAACGACCAUUUUCAAUAAUACGAAGGCUAACACCUACGGAUUUUUGACCAAGAAAUGGUCUCCACCAGAAAUCCAAGAAUGUGAUCUAUGGCAAGGAAACAUAUGUGGGGUGAGGUGUAUGAGCCUCUGGUCGAUGAUCAAUGGCCACACAACCCCAUUUUUGUCGAAAAUAGCCAUGAACGACCAUUUUCAAUAAUACGAAGGCUAACACCUACGGAUUUUUGACCAAGAAAUGGUCUCCACCAGAAAUCCAAGAAUGUGAUCUAUGGCAAGGAAACAUAUGUGGGGUGAGGUGUAUGAGCCUCUGGUCGAUGAUCAAUGGCCACACAACCCCAUUUUGUCGAAAAUAGCCAUGAAGACCAUUUUCAAUAAUACGAAGGCUAACACCUACGGAUUUUUGACCAAGAAAUGGUCUCCACCAGAAAUCCAAGAAUGUGAUCUAUGGCAAGGAAACAUAUGUGGGGUGAGGUGUAUGAGCCUCUGGUCGAUGAUCAAUGGCCACACAACCCCCAUUUUUGUCGAAAAUAGCCAUGAAUGACCAUUUUCAAUAAUACGAAGGCUAACACCUACGGAUUUUUGACCAAGAAAUGGUCUCCACCAGAAAUCCAAGAAUGUGAUCUAUGGCAAGGAAACAUAUGUGGGGUGAGGUGUAUGAGCCUCUGGUCGAUGAUCAAUGGCCACACAACCCCAUUUUUGUCGAAAAUAGCCAUGAACGACCAUUUUCAAUAAUACCGAAGGCUAACACCUACGGAUUUUUGACCAAGAAAUGGUCUCCACCAGAAAUCCAAGAAUGUGAUCUAUGGCAAGGAAACAUAUGUGGGGUGAGGUGUAUGAGCCUCUGGUCGAUGAUCAAUGGCCACACAACCCCCAUUUUUGUCGAAAAUAGCCAUGAACGACCAUUUUCAAUAAUACGAAGGCUAACACCUACGGAUUUUUGACCAAGAAAUGGUCUCCACCAGAAAUCCAAGAAUGUGAUCUAUGGCAAGGAAACAUAUGUGGGGUGAGGUGUAUGAGCCUCUGGUCGAUGAUCAAUGGCCACACAACCCCAUUUUGUCGAAAAUAGCCAUGAACGACCAUUUUCAAUAAUACGAAGGCUAACACCUACGGAUUUUUGACCAAGAAAUGGUCUCCACCAGAAAUCCAAGAAUGUGAUCUAUGGCAAGGAAACAUAUGUGGGGUGAGGUGUAUGAGCCUCUGGUCGAUGAUCAAUGGCCACACAACCCCCAUUUUUGUCGAAAAUAGCCAUGAAGACCAUUUUCAAUAAUACGAAGGCUAACACCUACGGAUUUUUGACCAAGAAAUGGUCUCCACCAGAAAUCCAAGAAUGUGAUCUAUGGCAAGGAAACAUAUGUGGGGUGAGGUGUAUGAGCCUCUGGUCGAUGAUCAAUGGCCACACAACCCCAUUUUUGUCGAAAAUAGCCAUGAACGACCAUUUUCAAUAAUACGAAGGCUAACACCUACGGAUUUUUGACCAAGAAAUGGUCUCCACCAGAAAUCCAAGAAUGUGAUCUAUGGCAAGGAAACAUAUGUGGGGUGAGGUGUAUGAGCCUCUGGUCGAUGAUCAAUGGCCACACAACCCCAUUUUUGUCGAAAAUAGCCAUGAACGACCAUUUUCAAUAAUACGAAGGCUAACACCUACGGAUUUUUGACCAAGAAAUGGUCUCCACCAGAAAUCCAAGAAUGUGAUCUAUGGCAAGGAAACAUAUGUGGGGUGAGGUGUAUGAGCCUCUGGUCGAUGAUCAAUGGCCACACAACCCCAUUUUUGUCGAAAAUAGCCAUGAAUGACCAUUUUCAAUAAUACGAAGGCUAACACUACGGAUUUUUGACCAAGAAAUGGUCUCCACCAGAAAUCCAAGAAUGUGAUCUAUGGCAAGGAAACAUAUGUGGGGUGAGGUGUAUGAGCCUCUGGUCGAUGAUCAAUGGCCACACAACCCCAUUUUUGUCGAAAAUAGCCAUGAAGACCAUUUUCAAUAAUACGAAGGCUAACACUACGGAUUUUGACCAAGAAAUGGUCUCCACCAGAAAUCCAAGAAUGUGAUCUAUGGCAAGGAAACAUAUGUGGGGUGAGGUGUAUGAGCUCUGGUCGAUGAUCAAUGGCCACACAACCCCAUUUUUGUCGAAAAUAGCCAUGAACGACCAUUUUCAAUAAUACGAAGGCUAACACCUACGGAUUUUUGACCAAGAAAUGGUCUCCACCAGAAAUCCAAGAAUGUGAUCUAUGGCAAGGAAACAUAUGUGGGUGAGGUGUAUGAGCCUCUGGUCGAUGAUCAAUGGCCACACAACCCCAUUUUGUCGAAAAUAGCCAUGAAGACCAUUUUCAAUAAUACGAAGGCUAACACUACGGAUUUUUGACCAAGAAAUGGUCUCCACCAGAAAUCCAAGAAUGUGAUCUAUGGCAAGGAAACAUAUGUGGGGUGAGGUGUAUGAGCCUCUGGUCGAUGAUCAAUGGCCACACAACCCCCAUUUUGCGAAAAUAGCCAUGAAGACCAUUUUCAAUAAUACGAAGGCUAACACUACGAUUUUUGACCAAGAAAUGGUCUCCACCAGAAAUCCAAGAAUGUGAUCUAUGGCAAGGAAACAUAUGUGGGGUGAGGUGUAUGAGCCUCUGGUCGAUGAUCAAUGGCCACACAACCCCAUUUUGUCGAAAAUAGCCAUGAAGACCAUUUUCAAUAAUACGAAGGCUAACAUCGCUACGGAUUUUAUGACCAAGAAAUGGUGUCCAUUGAUCAUCGACCAGAGCUCAUACACCUCACCCACAUAUGUUUCCUUGCAUAGAUCACAUUCUUGGAUUUCUGGUGGAGACCAUUUCUUGGUCAAAAUCGUAGUGUUAGCCUUCGUAUUAUUGAAAAUGGUCUUCAUGGCUAUUUUCGACAAAAAUGGGGUUGUGUGGCCAUUGAUCAUCGACCAGAGGCUCAUACACCUCACCCCACAUAUGUUUCCUUGCCAUAGAUCACAUUCUUGGAUUUCUGGUGGAGACCAUUUCUUGGUCAAAAAUCCGUAGGUGUUAGCCUUCGUAUUAUUGAAAAUGGUCAUUCAUGGCUAUUUUCGACAAAAAUGGGGGUUGUGUGGCCAUUGAUCAUCGACCAGAGGCUCAUACACCUCACCCCACAUAUGUUUCCUUGCCAUAGAUCACAUUCUUGGAUUUCUGGUGGAGACCAUUUCUUGGUAAAAAUCGUAGUGUUAGCCUUCGUAUUAUUGAAAAUGGUCUUCAUGGCUAUUUUCGACAAAAUGGGGUUGUGUGGCCAUUGAUCAUCGACAGAGCUCAUAACUCACCCACAUAUGUUUCUUGCAUAGAUCACAUUCUUGAUUUUGGUGGACCAUUUCUUGUAAAAUCGUAGUGUUAGCCUUGUAUUAUUGAAAUGGUCUUCAUGGCUAUUUUCGACAAAAUGGGGUUGUGUGGCCAUUGAUCAUCGACCAGAGCUCAUACACCUCACCCCACAUAUGUUUCCUUGCCAUAGAUCACAUUCUUGGAUUUCUGGUGGAGACCAUUUCUUGGUCAAAAAUCCGUAGGUGUUAGCCUUCGUAUUAUUGAAAAUGGUCGUUCAUGGCUAUUUUCGACAAAAAUGGGGGUUGUGUGGCCAUUGAUCAUCGACCAGAGGCUCAUACACCUCACCCCACAUAUGUUUCCUUGCCAUAGAUCACAUUCUUGGAUUUCUGGUGGAGACCAUUUCUUGGUCAAAAAUCCGUAGUGUUAGCCUUCGUAUUAUUGAAAAUGGUCUUCAUGGCUAUUUUCGACAAAAUGGGGGUUGUGUGGCCAUUGAUCAUCGACCAGAGGCUCAUACACCUCACCCCACAUAUGUUUCCUUGCCAUAGAUCACAUUCUUGGAUUUCUGGUGGAGACCAUUUCUUGGUCAAAAAUCCGUAGUGUUAGCCUUCGUAUUAUUGAAAAUGGUCGUUCAUGGCUAUUUUCGACAAAAUGGGGGUUGUGUGGCCAUUGAUCAUCGACCAGAGGCUCAUACACCUCACCCCACAUAUGUUUCCUUGCCAUAGAUCACAUUCUUGGAUUUCUGGUGGAGACCAUUUCUUGGUCAAAAUCCGUAGGUGUUAGCCUUCGUAUUAUUGAAAAUGGUCGUUCAUGGCUAUUUUCGCAAAAUGGGGUUGUGUGGCCAUUGAUCAUCGACCAGAGCUCAUACACCUCACCCCACAUAUGUUUCCUUGCCAUAGAUCACAUUCUUGGAUUUCUGGUGGAGACCAUUUCUUGGUCAAAAUCCGUAGUGUUAGCCUUCGUAUUAUUGAAAUGGUCUUCAUGGCUAUUUUCGCAAAAUGGGGGUUGUGUGGCCAUUGAUCAUCGACCAGAGCUCAUACACCUCACCCCACAUAUGUUUCCUUGCCAUAGAUCACAUUCUUGGAUUUCUGGUGGAGACCAUUUCUUGGUCAAAAAUCCGUAGGUGUUAGCCUUCGUAUUAUUGAAAAUGGUCGUUCAUGGCUAUUUUCGACAAAAAUGGGGGUUGUGUGGCCAUUGAUCAUCGACCAGAGGCUCAUACACCUCACCCCACAUAUGUUUCCUUGCCAUAGAUCACAUUCUUGGAUUUCUGGUGGAGACCAUUUCUUGGUCAAAAAUCCGUAGGUGUUAGCCUUCGUAUUAUUGAAAAUGGUCGUUCAUGGCUAUUUUCGACAAAAAUGGGGUUGUGUGGCCAUUGAUCAUCGACCAGAGGCUCAUACACCUCACCCCACAUAUGUUUCCUUGCCAUAGAUCACAUUCUUGGAUUUCUGGUGGAGACCAUUUCUUGGUCAAAAAUCCGUAGGUGUUAGCCUUCGGUAUUAUUGAAAAUGGUCUUCAUGGCUAUUUUCGCAAAAUGGGGGUUGUGUGGCCAUUGAUCAUCGACCAGAGGCUCAUACACCUCACCCCACAUAUGUUUCCUUGCCAUAGAUCACAUUCUUGGAUUUCUGGUGGAGACCAUUUCUUGGUCAAAAAUCCGUAGUGUUAGCCUUCGUAUUAUUGAAAAUGGUCUUCAUGGCUAUUUUCGACAAAAAUGGGGGUUGUGUGGCCAUUGAUCAUCGACCAGAGGCUCAUACACCUCACCCCACAUAUGUUUCCUUGCCAUAGAUCACAUUCUUGGAUUUCUGGUGGAGACCAUUUCUUGGUCAAAAAUCCGUAGGUGUUAGCCUUCGUAUUAUUGAAAAUGGUCGUUCAUGGCUAUUUUCGACAAAAAUGGGGUUGUGUGGCCAUUGAUCAUCGACCAGAGGCUCAUACACCUCACCCCACAUAUGUUUCCUUGCCAUAGAUCACAUUCUUGGAUUUCUGGUGGAGACCAUUUCUUGGUCAAAAAUCCGUAGGUGUUAGCCUUCGUAUUAUUGAAAAUGGUCGUUCAUGGCUAUUUUCGACAAAAUGGGGGUUGUGUGGCCAUUGAUCAUCGACCAGAGGCUCAUACACCUCACCCCACAUAUGUUUCCUUGCCAUAGAUCACAUUCUUGGAUUUCUGGUGGAGACCAUUUCUUGGUCAAAAAUCCGUAGGUGUUAGCCUUCGUAUUAUUGAAAAUGGUCGUUCAUGGCUAUUUUCGACAAAAAUGGGGGUUGUGUGGCCAUUGAUCAUCGACCAGAGGCUCAUACACCUCACCCCACAUAUGUUUCCUUGCCAUAGAUCACAUUCUUGGAUUUCUGGUGGAGACCAUUUCUUGGUCAAAAAUCCGUAGGUGUUAGCCUUCGUAUUAUUGAAAAUGGUCGUUCAUGGCUAUUUUCGACAAAAAUGGGGGUUGUGUGGCCAUUGAUCAUCGACCAGAGGCUCAUACACCUCACCCCACAUAUGUUUCCUUGCCAUAGAUCACAUUCUUGGAUUUCUGGUGGAGACCAUUUCUUGGUCAAAAAUCCGUAGUGUUAGCCUUCGUAUUAUUGAAAAUGGUCUUCAUGGCUAUUUUCGACAAAAAUGGGGGUUGUGUGGCCAUUGAUCAUCGACCAGAGGCUCAUACACCUCACCCCACAUAUGUUUCCUUGCCAUAGAUCACAUUCUUGGAUUUCUGGUGGAGACCAUUUCUUGGUCAAAAAUCCGUAGGUGUUAGCCUUCGUAUUAUUGAAAAUGGUCGUUCAUGGCUAUUUUCGACAAAAAUGGGGGUUGUGUGGCCAUUGAUCAUCGACCAGAGGCUCAUACACCUCACCCCACAUAUGUUUCCUUGCCAUAGAUCACAUUCUUGGAUUUCUGGUGGAGACCAUUUCUUGGUCAAAAAUCCGUAGGUGUUAGCCUUCGUAUUAUUGAAAAUGGUCGUUCAUGGCUAUUUUCGACAAAAAUGGGGGUUGUGUGGCCAUUGAUCAUCGACCAGAGGCUCAUACACCUCACCCCACAUAUGUUUCCUUGCCAUAGAUCACAUUCUUGGAUUUCUGGUGGAGACCAUUUCUUGGUCAAAAAUCCGUAGGUGUUAGCCUUCGUAUUAUUGAAAAUGGUCGUUCAUGGCUAUUUUCGACAAAAAUGGGGGUUGUGUGGCCAUUGAUCAUCGACCAGAGGCUCAUACACCUCACCCCACAUAUGUUUCCUUGCCAUAGAUCACAUUCUUGGAUUUCUGGUGGAGACCAUUUCUUGGUCAAAAAUCCGUAGGUGUUAGCCUUCGGUAUUAUUGAAAAUGGUCUUCAUGGCUAUUUUCGACAAAAAUGGGGGUUGUGUGGCCAUUGAUCAUCGACCAGAGGCUCAUACACCUCACCCCACAUAUGUUUCCUUGCCAUAGAUCACAUUCUUGGAUUUCUGGUGGAGACCAUUUCUUGGUCAAAAAUCCGUAGGUGUUAGCCUUCGUAUUAUUGAAAAUGGUCGUUCAUGGCUAUUUUCGACAAAAAUGGGGGUUGUGUGGCCAUUGAUCAUCGACCAGAGGCUCAUACACCUCACCCCACAUAUGUUUCCUUGCCAUAGAUCACAUUCUUGGAUUUCUGGUGGAGACCAUUUCUUGGUCAAAAAUCCGUAGGUGUUAGCCUUCGUAUUAUUGAAAAUGGUCGUUCAUGGCUAUUUUCGACAAAAAUGGGGGUUGUGUGGCCAUUGAUCAUCGACCAGAGGCUCAUACACCUCACCCCACAUAUGUUUCCUUGCCAUAGAUCACAUUCUUGGAUUUCUGGUGGAGACCAUUUCUUGGUCAAAAAUCCGUAGGUGUUAGCCUUCGUAUUAUUGAAAAUGGUCGUUCAUGGCUAUUUUCGACAAAAAUGGGGUUGUGUGGCCAUUGAUCAUCGACCAGAGGCUCAUACACCUCACCCCACAUAUGUUUCCUUGCCAUAGAUCACAUUCUUGGAUUUCUGGUGGAGACCAUUUCUUGGUCAAAAAUCCGUAGGUGUUAGCCUUCGGUAUUAUUGAAAAUGGUCGUUCAUGGCUAUUUUCGACAAAAAUGGGGGUUGUGUGGCCAUUGAUCAUCGACCAGAGGCUCAUACACCUCACCCCACAUAUGUUUCCUUGCCAUAGAUCACAUUCUUGGAUUUCUGGUGGAGACCAUUUCUUGGUCAAAAAUCCGUAGGUGUUAGCCUUCGGUAUUAUUGAAAAUGGUCGUUCAUGGCUAUUUUCGACAAAAAUGGGGGUUGUGUGGCCAUUGAUCAUCGACCAGAGGCUCAUACACCUCACCCCACAUAUGUUUCCUUGCCAUAGAUCACAUUCUUGGAUUUCUGGUGGAGACCAUUUCUUGGUCAAAAAUCCGUAGUGUUAGCCUUCGUAUUAUUGAAAAUGGUCGUUCAUGGCUAUUUUCGACAAAAAUGGGGGUUGUGUGGCCAUUGAUCAUCGACCAGAGGCUCAUACACCUCACCCCACAUAUGUUUCCUUGCCAUAGAUCACAUUCUUGGAUUUCUGGUGGAGACCAUUUCUUGGUCAAAAAUCCGUAGGUGUUAGCCUUCGGUAUUAUUGAAAAUGGUCGUUCAUGGCUAUUUUCGACAAAAAUGGGGGUUGUGUGGCCAUUGAUCAUCGACCAGAGGCUCAUACACCUCACCCCACAUAUGUUUCCUUGCCAUAGAUCACAUUCUUGGAUUUCUGGUGGAGACCAUUUCUUGGUCAAAAAUCCGUAGGUGUUAGCCUUCGUAUUAUUGAAAAUGGUCGUUCAUGGCUAUUUUCGACAAAAAUGGGGUUGUGUGGCCAUUGAUCAUCGACCAGAGGCUCAUACACCUCACCCCACAUAUGUUUCCUUGCCAUAGAUCACAUUCUUGGAUUUCUGGUGGAGACCAUUUCUUGGUCAAAAAUCCGUAGGUGUUAGCCUUCGGUAUUAUUGAAAAUGGUCAUUCAUGGCUAUUUUCGACAAAAUGGGGGUUGUGUGGCCAUUGAUCAUCGACCAGAGGCUCAUACACCUCACCCCACAUAUGUUUCCUUGCCAUAGAUCACAUUCUUGGAUUUCUGGUGGAGACCAUUUCUUGGUCAAAAAUCCGUAGGUGUUAGCCUUCGUAUUAUUGAAAAUGGUCGUUCAUGGCUAUUUUCGACAAAAAUGGGGGUUGUGUGGCCAUUGAUCAUCGACCAGAGGCUCAUACACCUCACCCCACAUAUGUUUCCUUGCCAUAGAUCACAUUCUUGGAUUUCUGGUGGAGACCAUUUCUUGGUCAAAAAUCCGUAGGUGUUAGCCUUCGGUAUUAUUGAAAAUGGUCGUUCAUGGCUAUUUUCGACAAAAAUGGGGGUUGUGUGGCCAUUGAUCAUCGACCAGAGGCUCAUACACCUCACCCCACAUAUGUUUCCUUGCCAUAGAUCACAUUCUUGGAUUUCUGGUGGAGACCAUUUCUUGGUCUAAAAUCCGUAGGUGUUAGCCUCUAGUAUUAUUGAAAAUGGUCGCUCAUGGCUAUUUUCAUGGUCGCUCAUGGCUAUUUUCAUAAAAAUGGGGGUUGUGUGGCCAUUUAUCAUCGACUAGAGGCUCAUAAACCUCACCCCACAUAUGUUUCCUUGCCAUAGAUUACAUUCUUGGAUUUCUGGUGGAAACCAUUUCUUGGUUAAAAACUCGUACGUGUUAGCCUUCGGUAUUAUUGAAAAUGGUCAUUCAUGGCUAUUUUCGGCAAAAUGGGGGUUGUGUGGCCAUUGAUCGUCGACCAGAGGCUCAUACACCUCACCCCACAUAUGUUUCCUUGCCAUAGAUCACAUUCUUGGAUUUCUGGUGGAGACCAUUUCUUGGUCAAAAAUCCGUAGGUGUUAGCCUUCGAUAUUAUUGAAAAUGGUCGUUCAUGGCUAUUUUCGACAAAAAUGGGGGUUGUGUGGCCAUUGAUCAUCGACCAGAGGCUCAUACACCUCACCCCACAUAUGUUUCCUUGCCAUAGAUCACAUUCUUGGAUUUCUGGUGGAGACCAUUUCUUGGUCAAAAAUCCGUAGGUGUUAGCCUUCGGUAUUAUUGAAAUGGUCAUUCAUGGCUAUUUUCGACAAAAAUGGGGGUUGUGUGGCCAUUGAUCAUCGACCAGAGGCUCAUACACCUCACCCCACAUAUGUUUCCUUGCCAUAGAUCACAUUCUUGGAUUUCUGGUGGAGACCAUUUCUUGGUCAAAAAUCCGUAGGUGUUAGCCUCUAGUAUUAUUGAAAAUGGUCGCUCAUGGCUAUUUUCAUAAAAAAUGGGGUUGUGUGGCCAUUGAUCAUCGACCAAGCCAUGAACGACCAUUUUCAAUAAUACCGAAGGCUAACACUACGGAUUUUUGACCAAGAAAUGGUCUCCACCAGAAAUCCAAGAAUGUGAUCUAUGGCAAGGAAACAUAUGUGGGGUGAGGUUAUGAGCCUCUAGUCGAUGAUAAAUGGCCACACAACCCCCAUUUUUGUCAUGAAAAUAGCCAUGAGCGACCAUUUUCAAUAAUACUAGAGGCUAACACCUACGGAUUUUUGACCAAGAAAUGGUCUCCACCAGAAAUCCAAGAAUGUGAUCUAUGGCAAGGAAACAUAUGUGGGGUGAGGUGUAUGAGCUCUGGUCGAUGAUCAAUGGCCACACAACCCCCAUUUUUGUCGAAAAUAGCCAUGAACGACCAUUUUCAAUAAUACCGAAGGCUAACACCUACGAUUUUUGACCAAGAAAUGGUCUCCACCAGAAAUCCAAGAAUGUGAUCUAUGGCAAGGAAACAUAUGUGGGGUGAGGUGUAUGAGCCUCUGGUCGAUGAUCAAUGGCCACACAACCCCCAUUUUUGUCGAAAAUAGCCAUGAACGACCAUUUUCAAUAAUACGAAGGCUAACACCUACGGAUUUUUGCCCAAGAAAUGGUCUCCACCAGAAAUCCAAGAAUGUGAUCUAUGGCAAGGAAACAUAUGUGGGGUGAGGUGUAUGAGCCUCUGGUCGACGAUCAAUGGCCACACAACCCCCAUUUUGCCGAAAAUAGCCAUGAACGACCAUUUUCAAUAAUAC
rnacentral:lncRNA from 1 species